rnacentral:rRNA from 1 species
ACUCAAAGGAAUUGACGGGGACCCGCACAAGCGGUGGAGCAUGUGGUUUAAUUCGAAGCAACGCGAAGAACCUUACCAAGUCUUGACAUCCCUCUGACCGGACAGUAAUGUGUCCUUCCCUUCGGGGCAGAGGAGACAGGUGGUGCAUGGUUGUCGUCAGCUCGUGUCGUGAGAUGUUGGGUUAAGUCCCGCAACGAGCGCAACCCUUAUCCUUAGUAGCCAGCAGGUAGAGCUGGGCACUCUAGGGAGACUGCCGGGGAUAACCUGGAGGAAGGUGGGGAUGACGUCAAAUCAUCAUGCCCCUUAUGAUUUGGGCUACACACGUGCUACAAUGGCGUAAACAAAGAGAAGCGACAGGGUGACCUUAAGCCAAUCUCAAAAAUAACGUCCCAGUUCGGAUUGUAGUCUGCAACUCGACUACAUGAAGCUGGAAUCGCUAGUAAUCGCGAAUCAGAAUGUCGCGGUGAAUACGUUCCCGGGUCUUGUACACACCGCCCGU